UCGACUUACCCAGCGUUUGAAAUUUGAGCUUCUUUUUUCCCUUUAAUCCCGUCUCUGCUCUCGCAACUCGCAAGCAAGCAAAACCACAAUCACUACCAAGCAAAGAAAGAAAUUUCUGUUUGGUUUACAAGAAAAAGAAAAAGAAAAAAAAUGGUAGCGGCUAAGCGUAAGGUAUCAUCAUACGAGGAAAUCCGUCUGAGAAGAUUGGAAGAAAACAAGAACCGACUGGAAGCCUUAAAUCUCCCAAAUCUCGCUCAAGCUCUUCGAAACUCUUCCCCUUUGAAGCCCUCCCCUAUCAAAAGAGUGAAGAAACCUCGUACGCCAGAAAAGGAAGUGGUCGCUGUCAGGAGGUCCGGUCGUGUCGCCAACAAGCCCACCCCUGUUUACAAGGAAGUCGUAUUUGAUCGCGUGGUGAUACCUAGAAGGUGUAUUGGAAAGCCCAGGGAUUUGUCAAACCGGGUAUAUGCUUCGGAGGAAGCUAGGGCCGAAGCAAUAGAAAGGGCAGAGAAAGCAGUGUCUGGUUUGGAACCCGAAUAUCCCAACUUUAUCAAAACAAUGCUCCAAUCCCAUGUGAGCGGCGGUUUCUGGCUGGGCCUUCCUGUUCAUUUCUGCAAAACGAACCUUCUAAGGCGUGAUGAAGUUAUGACAUUAAUAGAUGAGGAGGGCGAGGAAUAUGAAACCAUAUACUUGGCCCGGAAAACCGGGCUAAGUGGUGGGUGGAAAGGAUUUUCAGUUGCUCAUAAAUUGGGGGAUGGUGAUGCAUUAAUUUUCCAAUUAAUCCGGCCAUCUGCAUUCAAGGUUUUCAUUUUUAGGGCGGAUACUUCCAAGUAGGGAUACAAGCUUCAAUGUUUUGCUCUUGGAUGUUGAGUCAUCUUAAUCAAUUUAGGUGAAAAAAAUGAUAGCUUGUCUAUUUUGCCAUGAGGAUUGUCGGUUCCAAGGGAAACACCCCUUUAAUUUUAAUCCUUUUGUUCUAACGGAAUUUCCCAGUCAGGCUUUACUGUAAAGUUGUAGUUUUAAAAGCUUAUUUUGCACAUGACAAUCCUUAAUGGAUAAACACUGGAGUUCCCUAA